rnacentral:tRNA from 1 species
UGGGGUUGUGGCUCAGUGGUAAAGUGCUUGCCUAGCAUGUAAGAGGCACUGGGUUCGAUUCUCAGCACCACAA